rnacentral:rRNA from 1 species
ACUUACAAGCCUAAAUACCUCAAAGGCACCAAGCCCUGUCCAAUCUUGGAAGCUAAGCAAGGUCAGCCCUGGUUAGUACUUGGAUGGGAGACCACCAGCAAAUAAGAAGUGCUGCAGGCC